GACGAACGCUGGCGGCGUGCUUAACACAUGCAAGUCGAACGGAAAGGCCCUGCUUUUGUGGGGUGCUCGAGUGGCGAACGGGUGAGUAACACGUGAGUAACCUGCCCUUGACUUUGGGAUAACUUCAGGGAACUGGGGCUAAUACCGGAUAGGAGCUCCUGCUGCAUAGUGGGGGUUGGAAAGUUUCGGCGGUUGGGGAUGGACUCGCGGCUUAUCAGCUUGUUGGUGGGGUAGUGGCUUACCAAGGCUUUGACGGGUAGCCGGCCUGAGAGGGUGACCGGCCACAUUGGGACUGAGAUACGGCCCAGACUCCUACGGGAGGCAGCAGUGGGGAAUAUUGCACAAUGGGCGGAAGCCUGAGGCAGCAACGCCGCGUGCGGGAUGACGGCCUUCUGGUUGUAAACCGCUUUCGCCUGUGACGAAGCGUGAGUGACGGUAAUGGGUAAAGAAGCACCGGCUAACUACGUG
rnacentral:rRNA from 1 species